UACGGAGGGGGCAAGCGUUGUCCGGAUUUAUUGGGCGUAAAGCGAGCGCAGGUGGUUUAAUAAGUCUGAUGUAAAAGGCAGUGGCUCAACCAUUGUGUGCAUUGGAAACUGUUAGACUUGAGUGCAGUAGAGGAGAGUGGAAUUCCAUGUGUAGCGGUGAAAUGCGUAGAUAUAUGGAGGAACACCGGUGGCGAAAGCGGCUCUCUGGACUGUAACUGACACUGAGGCUCGAAAGCGUGGGGAGCAAACAGG
rnacentral:rRNA from 1 species